UUAAACAAAUUAAAUUAUAAGUGUAUAAAAAUACGCUAGUUACAUUUUGGAGUACAUCACGGUGCUAAGUAGUGAUGGUCCUACAAAAGUGUUCAUAGUGUCACCAGAAGAACAACCGACACUCAAGUCUCACAAGUUAACCAGCAGUAAAACUAUACUUCAAGUGUAAAUUCUUGGUAAUUAUCAGUUGCUCCUUAGUGUGUUCUCCACGUGACAUUGGGGGAAUCAACCGUGGCCCACUAGCACAACUGAAAGCCAUCAAAUCAAUCAAUUAUUCAAUCAUAAUUGAAGCAAAUUGGAAGAGAAAUCCAGGCAACGUAAGGAAUGGAAUACAAUGCCCUUGAAAUCUAAAUGAAGUCUUAUUUUGAACAAAAUGAAAGGAAAAAGGCUGUUUCCAAAACUAAACGAAGAAAAAAUUGAAAUUAGUAAAAUUAUCAAAAGAAUUAGAUCAAAAAUUAAUAACCGGAUAUUUUUUAGAAAGAGUUAAAGCUUAAGAAUGAUAUCUUAAUAAUUACGAUUGUAUUGUAAGGCAAUUGGAAGAAAAAUAACAAUUUUUUCAAUUAUUUUAGAUAUAAGGCAAGUAAUGUUAUUAAGUAAUAAUUUGAUCAUAUCAUUUUAGAACAAUGGAUGUAAUGUUAUAAACCUUUAAUAAGCAAUUGCAUAUUGUACCAUUAA